CUUUCCGUGGCGUAAUAGCAACGCGUCUGACCUCUAAUCAGAAGAUUGUGGGGUUCGAACCCCCAUCGGGGACU
rnacentral:tRNA from 1 species